GGGCGGUGAGAGCCCUGCCCGGGACCCCUCUUGACAUGAAACAUCCACCGGCACCGAGGGAGCUGCACAGGAGGGAGCAGCCCCAGGGGCUCCAGAACUUCACGUCCAGAGGAGGUGGAGCAGGAGCCGGGCAGGGCUCCGCAGUGCAGCUCACGGCACCGGGUGGGUGCCUGCACAGCCACCGGCGCUGCUCUAACGCCAAUCUUCGGGGAGGAGAACCCGGGGCUGCUCAGCGCAGCGCGGCCCGGCCCCCCGCCCCGGGUCACGGCCGUACCGGGGGGGGGGGGGCAUCGCGGACCCGGCCUCAGGGGCCUCGGACCGAAACCGCGGCCCCGCUGCCGUUCGGAGCCGGGUGUGCGGCACCAGCGGCCGCCGUGAGGGGCGCGGAGCCCCCAGAGCAGAGCCCUGACCCCCCCGCUGAGGGACACGGCUGGGUUCGGGCAGGGAAAGGCGGAUGAAGCAGGAAUAAACAGGGAUAACGGGGCUGGAUGGUCCGGUUCGGGCAGGGAGCAGCUUCCUGCCCUCGUAACCCGGAUACCGGGAAUUCCGCGCAUGCCGGACGGCGGAAGGAGCUGCUCCCCGUGCCUCCCUUCCCCAAGCCCGCAGCCGCCGAUCCCAGCUAACCCCAACCCGGAACGAGGGUGAGGAUGAGUAAGGCUGAGCCCCUUCACCCCCCGCAGGCAGCCGAAGGAGGACGAAGGCUCCAAGGAGGUGUUCAGAGCUCUGCCCCCAUUUAAAUCACCUUCGUCUCAUCGGUGCGGCCACAGACGGGGCUGAACGAGCCCCAAGCCACUCCUGCCCUCGCAGGCUCAGCCUCGCACCAAUCUCUGGUACCAUGGCGAGAUCCAAAGGGUGUUCAGUGUUCAUUAUGGCUCCUUCCCCACGGGCUCCUUUCCAGGGCUGUAUCAACACAAUCCAACACCGGCAUCGUAGAGACAGUGUUUAAUCAAGUUAUAAAAGUGACAUUCUUUCAAAAGGUGCAAAGCUCUUCAUGUCCUGACACGGAAACUACUGAGGCGAGACCUGCAUGGGAAAGAAAAGGUGGUGGUGAGAGCAUCGGGAGGCCCAGGGGAAACCAAGCCCAGACCUCGAGGCCGGGAGGGGAAAGAAUCUGAAGUGUUGGCAAUGAACAAUAAAUCAGAAGAAUGGGUUUGGAGCGAGGCUGAAACUGACCUGAAACCCUCAGAAGGGGAGGAGAGGGUAAGGACACCACCAAUGGAGUGCUCCUACCAUCGAAACCUUCCCAGUUUCAUUUUAAAUCCUAAAAGGAUCCUGUAUGGUUUGGAUGAAACCAUUGGUUUGUGCUUUCAUCUAAUGACAAGGCUUCAGGGCUUUGAGCUUACACCAUGAGAGAUGCCAACCUUGCACUUCUUGCAGAGUACUGCUUUAACAGUGACUCUUCCUCCAUUCAGGCAGGUCCUAUGCAAACACCACUCCACCACUGAACAUUCAGGUAAGCUUUAACCUGCCAGGAGGUGUUAAACAGGAAUCCUUUCAGUCUCUGCCUCACAAAGGGCUCCCGGUGCCACUUGCAGCGGGUUGGGAAGGGAGCCCCAUGCCUGGCCACUGAAGUUCAUCUUUUCAGAUAAAACCAUGUUUUUGUGCUGUCCUGCAGGGCUCAGCAACGUCUGUGUAAGAGCCAAGGGGUUCUGUGCUCACGAGGAACAGAGACAGCCCCCUGAACCCCAUACACCAGCUGCGAGCCCCGGCACCUGCAGCCACACAGGCUGAUGCAUGGCAAUAGACCAAUGCUGCUAGGACCAGGUUCCAGACUGCCCUCAAUUGUUACAGUUUCUCCUGUUGCUGCAGUGAGGACAAGACCCAGAUCUCCCCCACAUUUAGCGUUAUUCCAACCAUGAUGUGCCUGGCUGGCCACAAACGCAUCUCUCCACAAGUCACUCCCGUCUGCUUCUUAAUCCUGAGGCUGGAAGAGAAGCCCUUUCAUCAUCUCUCUGGCUGAAGCCACAUGUGUCCUGGACAUCAAUCACACCAUGAGCUCCUCCAGCUGCUGGUGCUUAACACCAGUGAUUGCUGAAUCACUGAGACCUCACGGCUCUCUGCAGCCACUCUCCAUUUUACCUGGGUACUGUUAAAAACUUGGAUAAAAGCAGCAGCAACAUUAGGAUUAGCUUUAAUGACUGGACUUAUUUCUUCCAGCUUCUGUCCCCCCUCACCCCUCCCAGUGUGUUCUCACUUGCAGGACAAUGAAUGCAUCGAUCCAGUCAUCCUUGCUAGGGUUGUAUGGCUUUGACGGUUUGACAUGGAACAAAAGAAAUCUGACUUCUUGACAUCACGUGCGCACAGAAAACUUGUAAUAGGUAGAACUCUGUCAAAGCUGGAAGUUGAUUUCUGCUUUUUCACAACAUACAAACCAGACAUGACCUAAUAAUGAACGACAUGCAGACCAAAACGUCCCCAGAAUAUGAACCUGUGUGGCUACAGACACCAAAGUGCUUCCAAAGAGUUUAGCCUAGAAGCAUACAUAGCGCCAAAGCUGCCAAAGGUAGUGCAGAAGAUUUAAGCCUCCCAGUGGUAGCAAGCAAUAUAUUUUACAUUGUAACCACCUCGACAUUCCUGCAAUUGCUUCCGAAGCUUCUGGUAGCUUUAGAACAGCGUUUGACUUCAGAAAAAGCACAGUUCUUAAUGCACCCUUCCCUGCUCUUUAACGUAUGCUUUAUGUAGGUUUAUCACAGGUAUACAGUUUAAUGCUCACAGUGUCCCGAGGUUGUGAAGACUCUGUAACAGACAACUACAUGUUGGGAAGCUCAGGCUGGGUUUUGUUUCCCAGAGUCAAUCCAUUAUUGAAUCAUACCGAGGGGCCAGGCACUGGUCCCCCCGUAGUGCUACAUACCGGACUGAGCUCACAUGCAUCUCUCCACGGGGAGCAUCCACAGCACUAGAUUUGAUCCUGCUGGUACAAUGUUAACUUUCAUCCCGGCUCCAAGUUCCAAAAACCUUCAGAUUCUUCACUAUUGUACUAAGUAACAAGGAUAUAUAUCUCUAUUUUAUUUAGGUUAUGUAGUUCUCAAGGAUGUUAUGUGCUCUACCGGGUACAGCGAAUCUUCCUGACAAAGAAACUAAGGAGGGAAAUGAAGAACCAAAAGGUGCCUUUGAAAAUUAGUGAAAAUAUGAUGAUUUCAGGUGCAGCUUUAUGGACAGAAGGCGACAGUAUCUCGAUAUUUGGCAAUCCAACAUUAGUGCUAAUGAAAUCCUUGAUUGUUGACCCAUAGACUUGGUGUUAAAAUUGACUUAGAAAAGCUGGUUUUCACUAUCAACAAAACCAGUGACUGGCUUGGAACGAACUCUAGGAGCUGGAUGUCCAGAUGAGAU
ensembl:lncRNA